UACGUAGGGUGCGAGCGUUGUCCGGAAUUAUUGGGCGUAAAGAGCUCGUAGGCGGUUUGUCGCGUCUGCUGUGAAAACCCGAGGCUCAACCUCGGGCCUGCAGUGGGUACGGGCAGACUAGAGUGCGGUAGGGGAGAUUGGAAUUCCUGGUGUAGCGGUGGAAUGCGCAGAUAUCAGGAGGAACACCAAUGGCGAAGGCAGGUCUCUGGGCCGUAACUGACGCUGAGGAGCGAAAGCAUGGGGAGCGAACAGG
rnacentral:rRNA from 1 species